rnacentral:rRNA from 1 species
AAUGAACGCUGGCGGCGUGCCUAACACAUGCAAGUCGUACGAGAAAUCCCGAGCUUGCUUGGGAGAGUAAAGUGGCGCACGGGUGAGUAACGCGUGGGUAACCCACCCUCGAAUCUGGGAUAACUCCGCGAAAGCGGUGCUAAUACCGGAUAAGACCACAUUCCGUUCGCGGAAAGAGGUAAAAGCUGACCUCUCCAUGGAAGUUAGCGUUUGAGGACGGGCCCGCGUCCUAUCAGCUUGUUGGUGGGGUAAUGGCCUACCAAGGCAGCGACGGGUAGCUGGUCUGAGAGGAUGAUCAGCCACACUGGAACUGGAACACGGUCCAGACUCCUACGGGAGGCAGCAGUGAGGAAUUUUGCGCAAUGGGGGAAACCCUGACGCAGCAACGCCGCGUGGGUGAAGAAGGCUUUCGGGUCGUAAAGCCCUGUCAGGUGGGAAGAAACUCUUCAGUACUAAUAAUGCUGAAGUCUGACGGUACCACCAGAGGAAGCACCGGCCAACUCCGUG